ACGGGUGAGUAACACGUGGAUAACCUACCUAUAAGACUGGGAUAACUUCGGGAAACCGGAGCUAAUACCGGAUAACAUAUUGAACCGCAUGGUUCAAUAGUGAAAGGCGGCUUUGCUGUCACUUAUAGAUGGAUCCGCGCCGUAUUAGCUAGUUGGUAAGGUAACGGCUUACCAAGGCAACGAUACGUAGCCGACCUGAGAGGGUGAUCGGCCACACUGGAACUGAGACACGGUCCAGACUCCCACGGGAGGCAGCAGUAGGGAAUCUUCCGCAAUGGGCGAAAGCCUGACGGAGCAACGCCGCGUGAGUGAUGAAGGUCUUCGGAUCGUAAAACUCUGUUAUCAGGGAAGAACAAAUGUGUAAGUAACUGUGCACAUCUUGACGGUACCUGAUCAGAAAGCCACGGCUAACUACGUGCCAGCAGCCGCGGUAAUACGUAGGUGGCAAGCGUUAUCCGGAAUUAUUGGGCGUAAAGCGCGCGUAGGCGGUUUUUUAAGUCUGAUGUGAAAGCCCACGGCUCAACCGUGGAGGGUCAUUGGAAACUGGAAAACUUGAGUGCAGAAGAGGAAAGUGGAAUU
rnacentral:rRNA from 1 species